rnacentral:rRNA from 1 species
GACGAACGCUGGCGGCGUGCUUAACACAUGCAAGUCGAACGGAAAGGCCUCUUUCGGGGGGUACUCGAGUGGCGAACGGGUGAGUAACACGUGAGUAACCUGCCCUUGACUUUGGGAUAACUUCAGGAAACUGGGGCUAAUACCGGAUAGGAGCUCCUGCUGCAUGGUGGGGGUUGGAAAGUUUCGGCGGUUGGGGAUGGACUCGCGGCUUAUCAGCUUGUUGGUGGGGUAGUGGCUUACCAAGGCUUUGACGGGUAGCCGGCCUGAGAGGGUGACCGGCCACAUUGGGACUGAGAUACGGCCCAGACUCCUACGGGAGGCAGCAGUGGGGAAUAUUGCACAAUGGGUGGAAGCCUGAUGCAGCAACGCCGUGUGCGGGAUGACGGCCUUCGGGUUGUAAACCGCUUUCGCUCAUGACGAAGCUUUGUGUGACGGUAGUGGGUAAAGAAGCACCGGCUAACUACGUGCCAGCCGCCGCCGUAACAC